AGGAUCGAACCAGGGUCUCCGUGGCAGCAGUCAAUGCAUUAAACCUUUAGACCAGUUUUGAUCAGACAUUUGUAGAACCUUUGUUUGUAUUCAUCGACGAGUAAAUCCCUGAAAACGCUUGGUGCCAAAAAAUCUGACAAAUACCAAUAAACAUCAGAACACUAUCGCCGUGAUUUAGUCUGUGCGUUAUGACGAGAACUACGAUGUAGGCUACCCGGGUUCGAACCUAGCUGCUCGUAUGUUAUGUUAAAAUAUUUAACUGUCGGCUUUUUCAACGUAACACACAUUUUCGCUACUUUCCUGUGUUAAACUUAUUUUUUUUUUUCAAUUAUUGCGUCAUCACCGUCAACCUAUUUAAGUCGGGCCAAAUGCGACACUCGUUCUCUUUUGCCAGCGACCCGUCACCGGCGUUUCCACAAGAUCGUCCAAAACUUUGACAAGGGCACGCUAACACCUUGCUAGCAUGCUAGCUAAAACCUUUGAGCUCUCGGAGGCAUUUAAUGUCUCCUGCGAGCUUAAACUACACCAAAACGCAUUUAUCUGGCGUAUACGCUGAUAAAUGAAUGCACGCAAAGUGCCGUUUUGCAAGAGGUUUGAAUCUUCAACCGAAUGGCCAAAUGGACUGAAUUCCUGUCUCUCGACACAGCAUAUCCUUUAUUAAACAGAAUAAAUCAAUUAAUGGUCUUUGGGUUAAUUCUCAUUUCUGAUUACAGGUUCAAAUCUUCAACAAAAUGGCUGACUUCCUCUGACUUUCGGGGCAGGCCUCUUGAGCCUUUUGCCGUCGUUGACGAGGCGUCCGGCUGCGCCCUGCUCGCCUCACUGCACGAGCUGACCAGGCAGCCUCCAGCGACAUCAUCACAGUUCAGGAAGAAUCUGAAGGACUGAAGGAGGGUAAGGACACCCGAGAUGACUUUCCAGCAGUGAUGACU